CCUACGGGAGGCAGCAGUAGGGAAUCUUCCGCAAUGGACGAAAGUCUGACGGAGCAACGCCGCGUGAGUGAUGAAGGUUUUCGGAUCGUAAAACUCUGUUGUUAGGGAAGAACAAGUACCGGAGUAACUGCCGGUACCUUGACGGUACCUAACCAGAAAGCCACGGCUAACUACAUGCCAGCAGCCGCGGUAAUACGUAGGUGGCAAGCGUUGUCCGGAAUUAUUGGGCGUAAAGCGCGCGCAGGCGGUUCCUUAAGUCUGAUGUGAAAGCCCACGGCUCAACCGUGGAGGGUCAUUGGAAACUGGGGAACUUGAGUGCAGAAGAGAAGAGUGGAAUUCCACGUGUAGCGGUGAAAUGCGUAGAGAUGUGGAGGAACACCAGUGGCGAAGGCGACUCUUUGGUCUGUAACUGACGCUGAGGCGCGAAAGCGUGGGGAGCAAACAGGAUUAGAUACCCUGGUAGUCCACGCCGUAAACGAUGAGUGCUAAGUGUUAGGGGGUUUCCGCCCCUUANUGCUGCAGCUAACGCAUUAAGCACUCCGCCUGGGGAGUACGGUCGCAGACUGAAACUCAAAUGAAUUGACGGGG
rnacentral:rRNA from 1 species